rnacentral:rRNA from 1 species
UUCCCUACGGGAGGCAGCAGUAGGGAAUCUUCCACAAUGGACGAAAGUCUGAUGGAGCAACGCCGCGUGAGUGAAGAAGGGUUUCGGCUCGUAAAGCUCUGUUGGUAGUGAAGAAAGGUAGAGGUAGUAACUGGCCUUUAUUUGACGGUAAUUACUUAGAAAGUCACGGCUAACUACGUGCCAGCAGCCGCGGCAAUACGUAGGUGGCAAGCGUUAUCCGGAUUUAUUGGGCGUAAAGGGGAC